rnacentral:tRNA from 1 species
UGUUCUGUGGUUUAGUUGGUUAACGCGCCGGACUAGUGAUACGGCGUCGUAAGUUCGAAUCCCGCCAAAACAA